GCUUUUCAAAAAAUGUAGGACUACAUGUUGUAUAUGCUAAUAUCUUUUUGUAUGCUGUACUGACAGUCCUCAACAUGGAAGUUAUGUUUUAUUCCUAACCAUCUAUAAUCCAUUCUCUAUGAAGUUCAGCCUGUCUGCCCAAAUUCCUUUGGAAAUACAUAGUUAGUCAACCAACAUAGAAACAAUCAAACUUGAAGGGAAAGAAUACUACAAUGUGGCUCCUCAGGAUCAACAGUGAAAAAUCUUAAUCAAUAAUGACCCUCCUGACUAUGUCUAAAGGCUCUAACCUUUAUAGCUGAUGUAAGAUGAUCUGAUUGCAAGGCAUUAAAAUUUCCUGGUGUUUCUACCAUCCAGGAUCUUCUUAUGAGUGCAUGGGGACUGCUGUGGACCUUAACCUGUUUAUAAAAAUAUACCUUGGAGCA